UACGUAGGGAGCAAGCGUUGUCCGGAAUCAUUGGGCGUAAAGCGCGCGUAGGUGGCUUCGUAAGUCCGUUGUGAAAGUCAAAGGCUCAACCUUUGAAAGCCGAUGGAUACUGCGGAGCUAGAGUACGGAAGAGGCGAGUGGAAUUCCUGGUGUAGCGGUGGAAUGCGCAGAUAUCAGGAGGAACACCAAUAGCGAAGGCAGCUCGCUGGGACGUUACUGACACUGAGGAGCGAAAGCGUGGGGAGCGAACAGG
rnacentral:rRNA from 1 species